AGGGGUUUGGAGGUGCUAGCCUGCAAGCAACUUCGAUAGCUGAUCUCUUCCUUCUUCUUCAAGCAUCUUGGACACUCCAAAGCAAUAAGAGAUCUAUAGGAGGAAGAGAGGAAGAUGAUAAGAGCUCUAAAAAACUAUAAAAUAGUAAGGAAACCAAUGAUGGGACAUCCAAGAUAGAAGCCCCCUUUUUAUAGACUAGGAAUUAGGGUUUCACCA
rnacentral:lncRNA from 1 species